rnacentral:rRNA from 1 species
AGCGCACCAGGAUUAGAUACCCUGGUAGUCCACACGGUAAAACGAUGCUAACUCGUUUUUUGGAUUUUCGGAUUCAGAGACCAAGCGAAAGUGAUAAGUUAGCCACCUGGGGAGUACGUCCGCAAGGAUGAAACUCGAAGGAAUUGACGGGGGCCCGCACAAGCGGUGGAUUAUGUGGUUUAAUUCGAUGAUACGCGAGGAACCUUACCAAGACUUAAAUGGGAAUUGACAGGUUUAGAAAUAGACCCUUCUUCGGACAAUUUUCAAGGUGCUGCAUGGUUGUCGUCAGCUCGUGCCGUGAGGUGUUAGGUUAAGUCCUGCAACGAGCGCAACCCCUGUCACUAGUUGCCAUCAUUCAGUUGGGGACUCUAGUGAGACUGCCUACGCAAGUAGAGAGGAAGGUGGGGAUGACGUCAAAUCAUCACGGCCCUUACGUCUUGGGCCACACACGUAAUACAAUGGCCGGUACAGAGGGCAGCUACCAGGUGACUGGAUGCAAAUCUCGAAAGCCGGUCUCAGUUCGGAUUGGAGUCUGCAACUCGACUCUAUGAAGCUGGAAUCGCUAGUAAUCGCGCAUCAGCCAUGGCGCGGUGAAUACGUUCCCGGGCCUUGUACACACCGCCCGUCAAGCCAUGGAAGUUUGGGGUACCCUGAAGUCGGUGUCCGUAAGCAGGAACUGC